rnacentral:rRNA from 1 species
UACAGAGGGUGCGAGCGUUGUCCGGAAUCAUUGGGCGUAAAGAGCGUGUAGGCGGCUCGAUAAGUCCGCUGUGAAAGUCCAGGGCUCAACCCUGGAAGGCCGGUGGAAACUGUCGGGCUAGAGUCCGGAAGAGGCGAGUGGAAUUCCCGGUGUAGCGGUGAAAUGCGCAGAUAUCGGGAGGAACACCAAUGGCGAAGGCAGCUCGCUGGGACGGUACUGACGCUGAGACGCGAAAGCGUGGGGAGCAAACAGGG